UGUACAGAUGGAACAUGAAAGUCUUAGCUCC
rnacentral:piRNA from 1 species